AACUUUUAACAGAUCGAGACAGUAAAAAACAAAUUUCUCUCCGAUGGCGAUGCAUUAUUCAUCCUCUCGACCUCAGCCAGUCGACUCGUUCCUCUCCGAUAUUCCAUGUUAUACGAUAUCUAUGGAAAAGAAAAAAAAACACGGCAACAUCGGCAAAUAUGGAUAAAUUCCUUAAUUACCUACGGAAUAUCAAACGUGUGAAGGUUUCUACAAACGACAUGGGGGAACUUGGAAGCGACAUAUAUAUUCUCAAAGAACAGAUGGGUUACCAAACUCAACAGUGAGUAUUUAUACAAACCAUAGCUGGAAAGUAUUCACUUAUGAAACCAUACUUCAACGUGACUUCCGAAACCAGACAACAGUAGGAAAACAAAAAGAUAAUUUGAUGGAGCUGCAGAAGUAUUUAUACUGUUUUCAACGUCAAUAAAAACAGAUAAGUCAUUUUCUUUAAAGUUUUGUCAUUUAGUAGUUGGGUCAAGUUGCCAACUUUUGAUGAAAAUAUAUCUAUGUUGUUAUGCAUAUGGUUCUUAGUUUUGUUUGUAGGAUCUUAAAAUAUAGAAAGUUAAACUUACAUUUGCAUCAGAUAGUAUUAGUUCCAAAGAUUCUACCACAUCUUUAAUGAAA